CUUUCAGUGAAGAUCCGUUCGGGAGAGUAGCUGUCGACAUUAUAGUUGCGAUGGCAACUUUGCAUUCAGAUGUCGGCCCUAUCAACUUUCGAUGCCACUUUCUGCGCCUACCAUGGUGACCACGGGUAAUUGGGAAUCAGGGUUCGAUUCCGGAGUGGCAGCCUGAGAAAAGGCUACCACAUCCAAGGAAGGCA